rnacentral:rRNA from 1 species
AGUUUGAUCCUGGCUCAGGAUGAACGCUAGCUACAGGCUUAACACAUGCAAGUCGAGGGGAAACGACAUCGAAAGCUUGCUUUCGAUGGGCGUCGACCGGCGCACGGGUGAGUAACGCGUAUCCAACCUGCCCAUCACUUGGGGAUAACCUUGCGAAAGUAAGACUAAUACCCAAUGACGUCUCUAGAAGACAUCUGAAGGAGAUUAAAGAUUUAUCGGUGAUGGAUGGGGAUGCGUCUGAUUAGCUUGUUGGCGGGGUAACGGCCCACCAAGGCGACGAUCAGUAGGGGUUCUGAGAGGAAGGUCCCCCACAUUGGAACUGAGACACGGUCCAAACUCCUACGGGAGGCAGCAGUGAGGAAUAUUGGUCAAUGGGCGAGAGCCUGAACCAGCCAAGUAGCGUGCAGGAUGACGGCCCUAUGGGUUGUAAACUGCUUUUAUAAGGGAAUAAAGUGAGCCUCGUGAGGCUUUUUGCAUGUACCUUAUGAAUAAGGACCGGCUAAUUCCGUGCCAGCAGCCGCGGUAAUACGGAAGGUCCGGGCGUUAUCCGGAUUUAUUGGGUUUAAAGGGAGCGUAGGCCGGAGAUUAAGCGUGUUGUGAAAUGUAGACGCUCAACGUCUGCACUGCAGCGCGAACUGGUUUCCUUGAGUACGCACAAAGUGGGCGGAAUUCGUGGUGUAGCGGUGAAAUGCUUAGAUAUCACGAAGAACUCCGAUUGCGAAGGCAGCUCACUGGAGCGCAACUGACGCUGAAGCUCGAAAGUGCGGGUAUCGAACAGGAUUAGAUACCCUGGUAGUCCGCACGGUAAACGAUGGAUGCCCGCUGUUGGUCUGAAUAGGUCAGCGGCCAAGCGAAAGCAUUAAGCAUCCCACCUGGGGAGUACGCCGGCAACGGUGAAACUCAAAGGAAUUGACGGAAGG